rnacentral:rRNA from 1 species
GAUGAACGCUGGCGGCGUGCCUAAUACAUGCAAGUCGAGCGAACGGACGAGAAGCUUGCUUUUCUGAUGUUAGCGGCGGACGGGUGAGUAACACGUGGAUAACCUACCUAUAAGACUGGGAUAACUUCGGGAAACCGGAGCUAAUACCGGAUAAUAUUUUGAACCGCAUGGUUCAAAAGUGAAAGACGGUCUUGCUGUCACUUAUAGAUGGAUCCGCGCUGCAUUAGCUAGUUGGUAAGGUAACGGCUUACCAAGGCAACGAUGCAUAGCCGACCUGAGAGGGUGAUCGGCCACACUGGAACUGAGACACGGUCCAGACUCCAAUGGGAGGCAGCAGUAGGGAAUCUUCCGCAAUGGGCGAAAGCCUGACGGAGCAACGCCGCGUGAGUGAUGAAGGUCUUCGGAUCGUAAAACUCUGUUAUUAGGGAAGAACAUAUGUGUAAGUAACUGUGCACAUCUUGACGGUACCUAAUCAGAAAGCCACGGCUAACUACGUG